rnacentral:rRNA from 1 species
UACAGAGGUCUCAAGCGUUGUUCGGAUUCAUUGGGCGUAAAGCGCGCGUAGGCGGCCCGGUAAGUCCGCUGUAAAAGUCAAAGGCUCAACCUUUGAAUGUCAGUGGAUACUGCCGGGCUAGAGUCCGGAAGAGGCGAGUGGAAUUCCUGGUGUAGCGGUGGAAUGCGCAGAUAUCAGGAGGAACACCAACGGCGAAGGCAGCUCGCUGGGACGGUACUGACGCUAAGGCGCGAAAGCGUGGGGAGCGAACAGG